rnacentral:rRNA from 1 species
CCACACUACUCCUUUGACCUUGGGGAGUCUAUAAGGCAAUGUGUUCUUCUAAUACAUGCAAGGCCCUGAAUAAGGGCCUCACUGGUGAGGAUAAAACGGAGAUAAUCUCGGUUGACGUAUUAGAAUAGGUGGGAUAGUGGCCCACCUGGUCGAAGAUGCGUAGUAUAGCCACACUUUCACUGAAACAAGGGGAAGACAUUUUGGCAGCAGUAGAGAAUUUUGUGCAAUGGGUAAACGCUUGACACAGAGUUUCACACUGAGGUCUGUCUAACUAAGUGCCAGCAGACGCGGUUAAACUUAGAGGCCCAGUUUUUAUUUCGCAUUAGGCGUUAAAGUAUGUAGUGAAGCAUGAGAAUAAAGUAAGGCAAACCUCUUGGUAGCGGUAAAAUGUUUGAAGCAAGAGUGGAAGUCCGAAGGUGGAGACUCCUUACUCCGUUCAUGAUAAAUCUUUAUGAAAUACGAAAGCUUGGAUAACAAACAGGAUUAGAUACCCUGGUAGUCCUCGCCCUAAACUUAUACAAUAGCUUUAUUAGCAAAUAACCUUAUUGUAUGCCUGAAUACUAUGAUCGCAAGAUUGAAACUCAAAAGGCUUGGCUGUUCACUGUUUGAAUCAGAGGAGCGUGUAAUUUAAUACGAUGAUCCGCGUGUCACCUUACCUUUCCUUGAAAGCGGCCUACCUUUUGUAGGUAGUAGCCGCUCAGGCAUUGCAUGGCCGUCGUCAGGAUAACAGUAAAUGUUAUUCUUAACCCUAUUAUGGAUUAAGUCAGGUGUUAUGGUCUUUAUGGAAAGGGAUAUUAUGCGCUACAUUCUCCUAUACAAUAUACACAAUAAAUUAGGAGGCGGAGAUUUUCUGAAACGGGAAUCUUAAGUAGGAUUUGAUAGUAAUCGGGAAGUAGAGCGUUCCGGUGAAUUCUAACCCAGUGUUAGCACAAAUCGCCCGUCGUCCCCUUCAAGUUAAGGAUACGAGACGCCCCGCAGCGGGGUUAUCCCUCCUUUUCGAGAAUGGGUAAGUCGUAACAUAGUAAGGGUAAGGGAACUUGUUCUUGGGCCAAAUUAUGCGCGUUCAAUACGUACUUGGCCGCUCUCCGUAAC